UACGUAGGGUGCAAGCGUUAAUCGGAAUUACUGGGCGUAAAGCGUGCGCAGGCGGUGAUGUAAGACAGAUGUGAAAUCCCCGGGCUUAACCUGGGAACUGCAUUUGUGACUGCAAGGCUGGAGUGCGGCAGAGGGGGAUGGAAUUCCGCGUGUAGCAGUGAAAUGCGUAGAUAUGCGGAGGAACACCGAUGGCGAAGGCAAUCCCCUGGGCCUGCACUGACGCUCAUGCACGAAAGCGUGGGGAGCAAACAGG
rnacentral:rRNA from 1 species